UGUGGACAAGCAGAAGGGCAAUCAUGAGGUAGCAACAGUUUCACAUCGACUUUGGAAAUGCAUUCAGUCAAUUCCCAAUACUGACACCCCAGGCACAAAUCUUCCUGGCCCCUGUCCAAAUAUUCGUACCAGCCAAUGGACAUGGGUUAUGGAUUCUUAGAAAGCGUUGGACGUAAACGAACCAAUGGUCGAGCGAUCUCGCUAGAUGAACCGACAACCUCUUGAUGGGCCUUUAAAUACGGUGUGACGCUCUACUCGGGUACAUUUAAAUGAGAACCGUGUGGCGCUACUCCAUAGAAACAAGAGGGCAAACGCAACCCAAACUAUUUAAGGACACUCUAAAUCCUGGGAUUUAUUUACACCUCUUGUUGAAUUUGGGGAAAACAAUGUUAAACGUCCUGCUAUUAAGCAGCGCCAUGGAGAGGUUGUCCACACCAAUGACCUUUCCUCUCCACGCACCUACGGGCGUCUGUCGUAAUCUUUUUGGGACGGUGGAUCACGACAAACUGAACCGGGAUAUGAAAUCCAAGAUGCGGGAGAUUUCGUAUAGGGACCAGCAGAAAUGGAACUUUAAUUUCGAGGCCGAAGUGCCACUGUCUGGGGACUAUGUGUGGGAGGAAACCCCGGUGGAUACGAGCCCUGUUUCCUACCAAGAUUCUGUACAGGUCGGGAUGGCUAGGAGUGUUGUAACACCGGUCAAUGUGAAGCCAGACGUUGACGUUAUCCUACUGGACUCCUCUUCUCAGGAUGUAUCGCCUCAUUGUGAUGACCGCUUGACCAACUCCAAAAGUAACACUCCAUGCCUCACCGAAGUCAACCCGGAGAACUGCGCAGUGAAGCUGAACUCGGGGAAGCCUACUCGCAAACAAGUCCCGUGUGUUCGAUGCAAAAUAACUACUACUACGACAAUGGCACUUGCUACAGACUUCUACGUGAAACGAAAACGGAUGACGACCGAAACGAAGCUAAAUGAGAGCACUUGCCACCAUUCUUCGUCUCAAUGUCAUGUAGAACAAACUCAACGCAAGAGAAUUCGUUGAAGGCGUUUGAACAAUCCUUUCCCCUAUAACCCUACCUUCCAACUUGAAGACAAGACUGAAAACAAGGGAAGGAGAACACUCCUGCUCGACCAUUCAUUGGCUUGGUGUGUCUGAGUGGACCUACAGUAUAUAGAAGAUUUUUUUUUCCAGCGGCCCAUGCCCUUUAUGGGCCACCUCAUAUUCAUGGAGGGAGUGGAGAUGGAGGAGCAACACGUCAGCGCAGUCAGGUCAUGGCCCAUCCUCAACUCAGUGAAAGCAGUCCAGCGAUUCCUGGGGUUCACCCGUGGCUUCAGCACUGUGGUUGCGCUUCUUACCUCCAUGCUGAGAGGAGGUCCCCAGAGGCUUCAUUGGACGGCGGAGGCGGAGAGGACGUUCGAGGCGCUGAAGGCAAGCCUCACCACUGCUCCGGUGCUGGCACAUCCCGACCCCUCACUUCCCUUCAUCAUCGAGGUGGAUGCCUCCGAAGUAGGAGUCGGGGCAGAGCUGUCCCAGCGCACCGGAUCCCUUCUUCGACAGUUUAUUAUGUUUAAUACAUUUGCAAACAUUUACUUUCUUUGUCAUUGUGUGUAGAUUGAACUGGGG